rnacentral:miRNA from 1 species
GGAGGCACUCUGACUUCUCGGA